rnacentral:rRNA from 1 species
GACGAACGCUGGCGGCGUGCCUAAUACAUGCAAGUCGAACGCAGUUGCGGACGGGUGAGUAACGCGUAGGUAACUGCCUCAUAGCGGGGGAUAACUCUUGGAAACGAUAGCUAAUACCCCAUACUGUGAGAUGGACCUUCGUUGUAUUAGGUAGUUGGUGAGGUAAAGGCUCACCAAGGCCACGAUACAUAGCCGACGUGAGCGGGUGUACGGCCAAACUUGGAAUGGAGCACGGGCCAGACUCCGUCGGGGGGCAGCAGUAGGGAAUCUUCGGCAAUUGGCGGAAGGCUGACCGAGCAACGCCGGGUGAGUGAAGAAGGGUUUCGGGUCGUUAAGGCCUGUUGUGAGAGAAGCGGUAACUAACCAGAAAGGAACGGCUAACUACGUGCCAGCAGCCGCGGUAAUUC